rnacentral:misc_RNA from 1 species
UCUUCUCGACCUCUUAGGCCUUCACCUCUUCCCUUUAGCUUUUACCGCCUCGCUGCGCUGUCCCGCAAACACACACACCACAUUUCGUAUCAUACUUCUCUCUAAACCUCCCCUCCCCCUUCCCCCUCUCUCUCACCAUGAAGGUUAUCGUUGCUUCUGGCCCGGACGGUGCCCGCAAGCACGAGGUGGAGCUGGCAGCCAGCGCCACGCUCGCAGAUCUGAAGAAAGCCUACCAACCGGGUGUGGACGUGCACCGCAAGUCGUUCAAGGUUCCCAGCACCGAGUCUCCGCUGCCAGGUGCGGAUGGCGGCAAGCUGCGCCCGAACCUCAUCACGCUGUCAGAUAAGGUGCCCCUGUCGCAGCAAGGGGUGAAGGACGGCUCGGUGAUCAUUUACAAAGACCUCGGCCCGCAGAUCGGCUACCGCACUGUGUUCUACGUCGAGUAUGCCGGCCCCAUCGCCUUCAUGCUGAUGUACGCCAUGCGCCCUUCGCUCAUCUACGGCUCUGCCCCGAUGCCGGCUUACGGCUACACGCAGAAGCUAUACAUUGGCCUCUUCCUCGCCCAUUUCUUCAAGCGCGAGCUCGAGUCCAUGUUUGUGCACAAGUUCUCGCACCCAACGAUGCCGAUGCGCAACAUCUUCAAGAACUGCGUCUACUACUGGUCCUUCGCCGCCUUCAUCGGUUACGUGCUGUGCAGUCCUUCAUUCACGCCGACCAGCGCCGCGCAGUCAAACUUCGGCGCCGUGUUCAUGACCAUCAACGAGCUGCUGAACUUUGCGGUGCACUACCAGCUUAGCACGAUGCGCAAGUCCGACGGUGACACCACCCGCAACGUGCCGCAAGGCCCUCUGUUCGCCUUCGUAUCGUGCCCGAACUACUUCUUUGAGAUUAUGUCGUGGGUGUCCUUCUCCAUCGGCACGAAUAUGUUGUCCUCCUGGCUCUUCACGCUGGCCGGCUUCGUGCAGAUGGCGGACUGGGCGAAGAAGAAGCACCGGGGCUACGUCAAGGCAGACCCGGCCAAUAAAAAGAAGGCCGCCAUUCUGCCCUUCAUCAUGUAGGGCCACGCCCACGCAUCAGCAUCAGCGGUGCGUGAGCACGAAACGGCGGGAGGGCAGCGAGAGGAACAAGCAGCGGCCUCUGGGCUUGAAGGUGUGCCGCUAUCGCUGCCGUCCAUCCCCGUCGUCGCCCUGUGUGUGAAGAUUGAUACGGGCACCAGUGCGGUCAGGCUCGAUGUGCAGCAGAGAACGUAACGAAAGAAAAGCGAAGCCGUCAAGGAAGGGCAGUGAUGAGUAGAGAAGACAUGGUGGAAGGAUGAAAACGAGGAGCGGGAAGGGCAGUUGUCGUGGCCCAAGAGUGGCAACGAACGCAGAUUGAUGGGGAAGAGGAAGAGGGAGUGAGGGGGGGAGGAUGGGGGUUGCGACCGUCUAUAUAUAUAUAUGUGUGUGUGUGCACAUUUUCUGAUGUCGAGAGGCUUCUGCUUCUCGAUGUAGUCCCUCUUUCCCGCGCCCCACCUUUGCCCUGUGUGAAUGCCCCGCCGUCGCUCGCGAGUCCUCUUUUCAGUGUCCCCGUGAUGCGCCGUCGAGAGCCUCCCCCCCCCCGGCCACGCCACGACCCUCUCUUCCUCUUUGGCCCCACUCUUCUCUGCAGAACCCCUCGUCUCCGUCAUUCGUGGUGUGGUUUGUAUCUAUCGACCCGGCGCGUGUGUGUCGUGUGUUAUGGAGCACGAGUCUACCGCGCUUCUUUCUAGUUGGUUUUGCCUUUUCUCCUCUCCGGCGCACGCACACACACAGAGAGAGAGCGAUGAGACGGUCAUCUCACUCUCCUGUCGGGUCCCUCCUCCCUUUCCCCCUCCCUUUCCCCCUCCCUUCGCAGCCACCUGGCAUCCUCGUUGAUGUCGCUCUUGCUACCGUAUUCGCCGAACUUUGCAUGUGUGGGGAGGGGGAGGGAGGAGGGGGGUGCCCGUGUGCGCCGGCGUGCUGGCUAAGUGUGUGGUUUCACCGCAACAGAAAGGCGGUGAAGAAUCAGAGAGGACAAAAUACGAAGAGGCGGCGGAAGCCCAGGGAGACGAAUGUUAAUCGCGCGACGCUGUCAUGCAGCACACGAGCACGUUUUGUUGCUGCGCCCAGCAGUCCUUCUCCCUGUCUUCCCUCCCAGACACUAGCACACACACACACGCACACAGCAAAUAUUUCCAGAGAGCUGUUUCGACAUGUUACUGAUUCCAGUGCGGCUUCUCUCUUCUUGCGAUUGACUUUUUCGCGUGUGCGUGGGCACGGCCAUAGCCCCUGGGGAGAGGGCCGCCUUGUUUCUCCUUGGGCCUCAUCGGUGUGUGCGUUACCGCCCUCCCCUUCCCUCUCCCUCCGCCAUCUCCCUCGGCACCUCACAUCCAUCUUUGUUGCCAGACACAAAAAGAUAACAAAGACCGCAGGUGUGUAGGUGUGUGUGUGUGUUCGUGCGCGCUCGUUUUUUUUUUUGGAGGGAUGUUGGCCUCUUCGUUGUCGUUGUUGUCUGUUUGUCGUGUUCGCUAUUCCGUGUGCACCUGGCAAAGGGGGGAGGGACGGUGCCGACACGCCCUAGCGCUCACCCCUCCCUCUCUUUUCUUUUUGUUUUUCCAGUCAUGUUAGUCUUCCUUUCGUGUGUCGCGGUUUCGGUUUCUCAUUCUACCCUCCCCUCCACAUUCCGCCCACUCUCACGCACGCACAUACGCGCCAAACUACUUCGCCUUUAUCCACCUCCCCUCCUCUCCUCUGCCUGUCCCUUCCCCUUCUCUCCCUCCUGUCAUUCUACUUUUAUAUCAAUAUAUAUAUAUAUAUAUAUGUUUUGCUUUAGUGGCUGCCGUAGUGACGACAAACAACCAAGCUACCGAACACACAAGCGUCCAUCAGCGAGACGUGCUCGCGACUCUUGCCACGUCAUGCAUCGGCAACUCUGAAGCGAAAUAUGUAUGAGCGUAUAGAAACGAGGUGAACCGAACAAACGACAGAACAGCGCAGGAGAGAGAAAGGGAAGUCGUCGCACGCACACCCGCGCAUACGCCCGACUUGGCACAGCAAGUAACACGUCUGCCCCUCCCCCGCCGCCGCCGCCGUUUCAUGGUACGGUAUUGACAAACGGUGUCCUCCUCUACGUGGAUGUGAUUGGGAAAGAAGGAUGAGGUGGUGCGAAGGUGUAAGUGAGCGCGAGAAAAGAGAGAAAGAUGUG